UGAGUAAUGUCUGGGAAACUGCCUGAUGGAGGGGGAUAACUACUGGAAACGGUGGCUAAUACCGCAUAACGUCGCAAGACCAAAGAGGGGGACCUUCGGGCCUCUUGCCAUCAGAUGUGCCCAGAUGGGAUUAGCUAGUUGGUGAGGUAACGGCUCACCAAGGCGACGAUCCCUAGCUGGUCUGAGAGGAUGACCAGCCACACUGGAACUGAGACACGGUCCAGACUCCUACGGGAGGCAGCAGUGGGGAAUAUUGCACAAUGGGCGCAAGCCUGAUGCAGCCAUGCCGCGUGUAUGAAGAAGGCCUUCGGGUUGUAAAGUACUUUCAGCGGGGAGGAAGGUGUUGUGGUUAAUAACCGCAGCAAUUGACGUUACCCGCAGAAGAAGCACCGGCUAACUCCGUGCCAGCAGCCGCGGUAAUACGGAGGGUGCAAGCGUUAAUCGGAAUUACUGGGCGUAAAGCGCACGCAGGCGGUCUGUCAAGUCGGAUGUGAAAUCCCCGGGCUCAACCUGGGAACUGCAUUCGAAACUGGCAGGCUUGAGUCUUGUAGAGGGGGGUAGAAUUCCAGGUGUAGCGGUGAAAUGCGUAGAGAUCUGGAGGAAUACCGGUGGCGAAGGCGGCCCCCUGGACAAAGACUGACGCUCAGGUGCGAAAGCGUGGGGAGCAAACAGGAUUAGAUACCCUGGUAGUCCACGCCGUAAACGAUGUCUACUUGGAGGUUGUGCCCUUGAGGCGUGGCUUCCGGAGCUAACGCGUUAAGUAGACCGCCUGGGGAGUACGGCCGCAAGGUUAAAACUCAAAUGAAUUGACGGGGGCCCGCACAAGCGGUGGAGCAUGUGGUUUAAUUCGAUGCAACGCGAAGAACCUUACCUGGUCUUGACAUCCACAGAAGAAUCCAGAGAUGGAUUUGUGCCUUCGGGAACUGUGAGACAGGUGCUGCAUGGCUGUCGUCAGCUCGUGUUGUGAAAUGUUGGGUUAAGUCCCGCAACGAGCGCAACCCUUAUCCUUUGUUGCCAGCGGUCCGGCCGGGAACUCAAAGGAGACUGCCAGUGAUAAACUGGAGGAAGGUGGGGAUGACGUCAAGUCAUCAUGGCCCUUACGACCAGGGCUACACACGUGCUACAAUGGCGCAUACAAAGAGAAGCGACCUCGCGAGAGCAAGCGGACCUCAUAAAGUGCGUCGUAGUCCGGAUUGGAGUCUGCAACUCGACUCCAUGAAGUCGGAAUCGCUAGUAAUCGUGGAUCAGAAUGCCACGGUGAAUACGUUCCCGGGCCUUGUACACACCGCCCGUCACACCAUGGGAGUGGGUUGCAAAAGAAGUAGGUAGCUUAACCUUCGGGAGGGCGCUUACCACUUUGUGAUUCAUGACUGGGGUGAAGUCGUAACAAGGUAACCGUAGGGGAACCUGCGGUUGGAUCACCUCCUUACCUUAAAGAA
rnacentral:rRNA from 2 species